AGAGUUUGAUUAUGGCUCAGAACGAACGCUGGCGGCAUGCCUAACACAUGCAAGUCGAACGAGACCUUCGGGUCUAGUGGCGCACGGGUGCGUAACGCGUGGGAAUCUGCCCUUGGGUUCGGAAUAACAGUUAGAAAUGACUGCUAAUACCGGAUGAUGACUUCGGUCCAAAGAUUUAUCGCCCAGGGAUGAGCCCGCGUAGGAUUAGCUUGUUGGUGAGGUAAAAGCUCACCAAGGCGACGAUCCUUAGCUGGUCUGAGAGGAUGAUCAGCCACACUGGGACUGAGACACGGCCCAGACUCCUACGGGAGGCAGCAGUGGGGAAUAUUGGACAAUGGACGAAAGCCUGAUCCAGCAAUGCCGCGUGAGUGAUGAAGGCCUUAGGGUUGUAAAGCUCUUUUACCCGGGAUGAUAAUGACAGUACCGGGAGAAUAAGCUCCGGCUAACUCCGUGCCAGCCGCCGCGGUAA
rnacentral:rRNA from 1 species